rnacentral:rRNA from 1 species
GUGUCAGCAGCCGCGGUAAUACGUAGGGCGCAAGCGUUAUCCGGAAUUAUUGGGCGUAAAGAGCGCGUAGGCGGUUUGUCGAGUCUAUUGUGAAAGUCCGAGGCUCAACUUCGGAUCUGCGGUGGGUACGGGCAGACUAGAGUGAUGUAGGGGAGACUGGAAUUCCUGGUGUAGCGGUGAAAUGCGUAGAUAUCAGGAGGAACACCGAUGGCGAAGGCAGGUCUCUGGGCAUUAACUGACGCUGAGGAGCGAAAGCAUGGGGAGCGAACAGGAUUAGAUACCCUCGUAGUCC